rnacentral:tRNA from 1 species
CCGUGGGGGACGCCAUUUAAAGAUGAUUAUCCGUCUUAUCUGUUCUUUAAAAAUCCGGAAACAAGCUGAAAACGAGA